GGGCCGCUGGUCUAGUGGUAUGAUUCUCGCUUAGGGUCACACCCGAGUUCCAAGAGCUUGUUAACAAGCUUAUGCGAGAGGUCCCGGGUUCAAUCCCCGGGUGGCCCC